rnacentral:rRNA from 1 species
CCUACGGGCGGCAGCAGUGGGGAAUAUUGGACAAUGGGCGAAAGCCUGAUCCAGCCAUGCCGCGUGUGUGAAGAAGGCCUUCGGGUUGUAAAGCACUUUCAUUGGGGAAGAAAGCCUUGGGGCUAAUACCCUCGAGGAAGGACAUUACCCACAGAAGAAGCACCGGCUAACUCCGUGCCAGCAGCCGCGGUAAUACGGAGGGUGCGAGCGUUAAUCGGAAUUACUGGGCGUAAAGCGAGCGUAGGCGGUCUGAUAAGCCGGUUGUGAAAGCCCCGGGCUCAACCUGGGAACGGCAUUCGGAAACUGUCAGGCUAGAGUGCAGGAGAGGAAGGUAGAAUUCCCUGUGUAGCGGUGAAAUGCGUAGAGAUCGGGAGGAAUACCAGUGGCGAAGGCGGCCUUCUGGACUGAAACUGACGCUGAGGUGCGAAAGCGUGGGUAGCAAACAGGAUUAGAUACCCGAGUAGUC